GGGGCCGACUUGGCUUCGACGUGGGUUGCAAAGCAGCGCAGUGCAUACCGAGGACCAGUCACCUCGUAAAUCCAUCUGGAAAUCAACAAACGCCAACGACGAACGUUUCGUUCUAGCCGCUUAAUCCCGGUUAGCGCUGCACCGGCAGGUCUCUGGGCCGGGUGGUCUUAGCGUAAGCUGAGCCGCUGCAGUGUCAUUUACAGAGACUCGCGAGUUGCGCCGGGUCACUUGGCGCAACAGCUAAAGGUAAGGUGACUCGCUCCUGUCCGGCCUGCCGACCGGCUAAGGCAGGAGCUAAACCAAAUAGGUCGGCUAAGUAUGUAGAGCUGUCUGUGGAGGGCUUGCGGACGGGGGUUCAAUUCCCCCCGGCUCCACCA
rfam:Azoarcus sp. CIB, complete genome.